rnacentral:rRNA from 1 species
UGCAAGUCGAGCGAACUGAUUAGAAGCUUGCUUCUAUGACGUUAGCGGCGGACGGGUGAGUAACACGUGGGCAACCUGCCUGUAAGACUGGGAUAACUUCGGGAAACCGAAGCUAAUACCGGAUAGGAUCUUCUCCUUCAUGGGAGAUGAUUGAAAGAUGGUUUCGGCUAUCACUUACAGAUGGGCCCGCGGUGCAUUAGCUAGUUGGUGAGGUAACGGCUCACCAAGGCAACGAUGCAUAGCCGACCUGAGAGGGUGAUCGGCCACACUGGGACUGAGACACGGCCCAGACUCCUACGGGAGGCAGCAGUAGGGAAUCUUCCGCAAUGGACGAAAGUCUGACGGAGCAACGCCGCGUGAGUGAUGAAGGCUUUCGGGUCGUAAAACUCUGUUGUUAGGGAAGAACAAGUACAAGAGUAACUGCUUGUACCUUGACGGUACCUAACCAGAAAGCCACGGCUAACUACGUGCCAGCAGCCGCGGUAAUACGUAGGUGGCAAGCGUUAUCCGGAAUUAUUGGGCGUAAAGCGCGCGCAGGCGGUUUCUUAAGUCUGAUGUGAAAGCCCACGGCUCAACCGUGGAGGGUCAUUGGAAACUGGGGAACUUGAGUGCAGAAGAAAAAAGCGGAAUUCCACGUGUAGCGGUGAAAUGCGUAAAGAUGUGGAGGAACACCAGUGGCGAAGGCGGCUUUUUGGUCUGUAACUGACGCUGAGGCGCGAAACCGUGGGGAGCACACAGGAUUAGAUACUCUGGUAGUCCACGCCGUACACGAUGAGUGCGAAGUGUUACAGGGUUUCCGCCCUUUAGUGCUGCAGCUAACACAUUAAGCACUCCGCCUGGGGAGUACGGUCGCAAGACUGAAACUCACAGGAAUUGACGGGGGCCGGCACAAACAGUGGAGCAUGUGGUUUAUUUCGGAGCAGCUCUUAG